GACGAACCGUGCGAACGUUGUUCGGAAUCACUGGGCUUAAAGGGCGCGUAGGCGGGCGGUCAAGUCAGAGGUGAAAUCCCACGGCUCAACCGUGGAAGCGCCCCUGAUACUGAUCGUCUCGAGGGAGGUAGGGGCGUGCGGAACUUCCGGUGGAGCGGUGAAAUGCGUAGAUAUCGGAAGGAACACCGGUGGCGAAAGCGGCGCGCUGGACCUUUACUGACGCUGAGGCACGAAAGCGUGGGGAGCAAACAGG
rnacentral:rRNA from 1 species